rnacentral:rRNA from 1 species
UACAGAGGGGGCAAGCGUUAUUCGGAAUUAUUGGGCGUAAAGGGCGCGUAGGCGGCCUGGCAAGUGGAAGGUGAAAUCCCUCGGCUUAACCGAGGAACUGCCUUCCAAACUGCUUGGCUUGAGUCCGGGAGAGGUGAGUGGAAUUCCCAGUGUAGCGGUGAAAUGCGUAGAUAUCUGGAGGAACACCGGUGGCGAAGGCGGCAUUCUGGACCGACAUUGACGCUGAGGAGCGAAAGCCAGGGGAGCAAACGGG